AGCGUUGCACAUGGCAGUGCUGUAGGCCUUGAGGCCUAUCUGAGGCACAGUUAUUGCUGAUUGAAAACUUUGCCCAUUAUGCCACUGUGACAACCUGACAUACACAGAGACACAUAGUAAUGUGAACUCUUGUGGAAAUUGUGUUUUUUGUAGAGCAGAACUGU
ensembl:snRNA U4 U4 spliceosomal RNA